rnacentral:rRNA from 1 species
UACGGGGGGAGCAAGCGUUGUUCGGAUUUACUGGGCGUAAAGGGCGCGUAGGCGGUCAGCACAAGUCAGUUGUGAAAUCUCCGAGCUUAACUCGGAAAGGUCAACUGAAACUGUGCGACUAGAGUGCGGAAGGGGCAACUGGAAUUCUUGGUGUAGCGGUGAAAUGCGUAGAUAUCAAGAGGAACACCUGCGGCGAAGGCGGGUUGCUGGGCCGACACUGACGCUGAUGCGCGAAAGCCAGGGGAGCAAACGGG